UAUUUCUUAUUAGAGAAAUAGAAUUUACGUGGUAUAGUAAUAUAACAAUAUUUUUUAGGAGUGAUAGGCUUUUCAAGUAUGAUGAUAACUUGAUAUGCAAAAAAAAUAUUAAGUAUAAAAAUAGAUUAUGAAAGUUAAGCUUCAUAAUUAAAAUUAAUUUUUUUUAUUGAUUUUAUUAUAGUUUAAUAGCUUAUAAGAAGUUAAAAAAAAAUUAUUUUAUAAGAAUUAUUUAAAUAAUUGCAUUAUACUUUUUGGUUUUAAUAUAAAUUAUGUUAGUAUUAGUAAUUAUUAUAAAUAAAUUAUAGGAACUCGGCAAAAUAUUUUUCACCUGUUUAUCAAAAACAUAACUAUAUGAUCUAAUAUAUAGCUAUUCCUGCUCAAUGAUAUAUUAAAUAGCCGCAGUACCCUGACUGUGCAAAGGUAGCAUAAUCAAUUGGCUUUUAAUUGGAGUCUUGUAUGAAUGGAUAUAUGGAAAAUCACUGUCUUUAAUUUUUUAAUAUUAAUUUAGUUUGUAAGUGAAAAUACUUACAUAUAUAUAUAGGACGAGAAGACCCUAGAAACUUAGCAAAAUAUUUUGUUGGGGCGACAGAAUUACAAAAAACUAAUUUUACUAUACUAGACGUGUAAACAGCUAGAUUAAGUUACUCUAGGGAUAACAGCAUAAUUUUUACAGUUUGUGACCUCGAUGUUGGACUAGGGAAUUUAUUGUUUAGAAGACAUAAAGUGUGCUCUGUUCGAGCU
rnacentral:rRNA from 1 species